rnacentral:rRNA from 1 species
UACGUAGGGGGCAAGCGUUGUCCGGAAUCAUUGGGCGUAAAGAGCGCGUAGGCGGUCCGGUAAGUCAGCUGUGAAAGUCAAGGGCUCAACCCUUGAAUGCCGGUGGAUACUGCAGGGCUAGAGUCCGGAAGAGGCGAGUGGAAUUCCUGGUGUAGCGGUGGAAUGCGCAGAUAUCAGGAGGAACACCGGUGGCGAAGGCGGGUCUCUGGGCAGUAACUGACGCUGAGGAGCGAAAGCGUGGGGAGCGAACAGG